CGCUACUGCCGUCACAUCCGCAAUCUACUUGAAUGAAAUCCUCUGCGUGACACGUCUGGGCUUAACGUUUACGCUAAAAGUGAGACGACUAAUUUAGGCCGACAAGGAGAGGGUAAAUCUGCUUAAAUAUCUGUAUUAAUGAAGCCACUCAACCAGUACUAACGUUAUAACUUUUCAAUAAAAACUAAAAGUGUAUCCGUCACUAAGAUAGUGAUCGCUAUGUCAAGUCUUAUUCGUAGCACGAUGGAUACGCCUUGCGUUUUUACAGUCUGAUCUUUAUCUAAGUCACAGCCAAAGACAAUGCACACACAUCAAUUGGACUUUUCCAGUAUUUACUGGAAUACUGAGUAUUGAUUUACAACCACUACUAGGAACUGAGUACUGUAUUCCAAUAAAACAGAUGAGAUGUUUGUAGACAGCCCGGGUGUUCACCAGUUUACAUUAAAAAAAAAAAAGCCUGUAAGUGCGGUGGGGAAAGUCACAUUAUAAGGACAGCAUGAAUACUCAUCUCAAAUCCUUUAAUUUUGAAUGAUGAAAUCUUCAUAAAGUGAGAGAGAUAACCAUAAUAGUCUACUUUGAGCAAGGAGUUGGCAGUAGUAGGAAGGAAGAACGCCCUUUAAAAGGAAGAGCUCUUUUGCAGAACCAGGCUCAGGAAGGCAAUCUUAGAGGCAAACACAACUGGACUUCAUGAGGUUUUUGCAGAUAUUUUGGUUCUUUAGUUCUACAACAACACCUAGUGGGGUCAGUUGCUUUGGAGUUGUUACUGAGAGUCGUUAACCCACUAUUUAUUUAUUUACCGUGUGAUAACAGACAUAGGACAUGCCAGUCGACAGGUGAAACCUCUGUGAGAUGUUACAGAGUAUAGCAUGGUGGAAAAGGAUGGAGAGAAUCGCCCCCUAAGCUUUUGGGUUGGCAUUUCUUUAGAUUUUGUUUUGUAUUAAUUGCAUGCUUUGGUGUUUUUUUGUGUUUGAUGUGAGGUGUGGGCCACACCCAUGUGGGAGUGGAGAUUCUACUCUAGUCCAGCUGCCAGCUAUUUGGAGUUGAAUACAGGGAGCAGCUGAUUGGGGAUGAUUGGAGCCCUUCUCUAUAAAGGGGAGAGGAAACAGAAAGUAGGGGUUGUUGUUGUUUUUUUUUAGUAGGACACUGGUGAAGCAGGGAAGCCUCGAAGAUCCAGGAUGAAGUGUGCACAUUUUAAUGGAAAAGAUUUUUAACCUGGCCUGGUUUUGCUUUUAAAAUAAACUGAGGAUGUUGGAGGGAGGACUCAUUCUUAUUGGGAUGUGAGUGGAUGUGCUAGAAGGCAGGAAAACAAACACUGGACUGGAGACUCUCUGUGCCCCUGACAAGGAAACUGGACCAGUUUUGGGGAAGUUCCAGCUCCCAGGAUGUGAUGUGGAGACCCAGCCUCGAACGAAGUCAGGCCUGAAAAGGCUAACAACCCUGACCGCGGUGGCUUUGGGCCUUGGAUUCCUGGCCAGAGUUGUGUCUUCAGCCAGUAGUUUUACCCGGAGAAAGAACAAAUAAAUCUUGUGUAACCCAUUACAGUGUGCGUGUGGUGGUUCGUUACUGGUCAAUAUUAGAGCUACUACUUUCUUGUACGGAGGCCAUUUUGGGCCUUACGUAACAGAGACAUUGCCCAAUCUCACCAUUAAAUUAGUUAUUGACGUCACCUGAGGUAAGGUAAGAAUGGGGAUUGAAACACCUAGGGAGGAGUCAGUCAUUGUAAGUAGCUAAUACCUGGUUUUCUAAGCCAUCACCUCAUUUUGAGAAAAUUCAUUCACAGAAACAAUAUUUGUUCAUAGAAACCAUCCUGUCUUCCUGGUCCAAAAGGUUAACAUUGGGGUCCUCAAAAGAGUGCCCUUUGUCCUUAAGGCACAGAUGUACACCUGAGUCUUGUCGUGUUGAGGUGGCUCUCCUAUGUUGAGACAUCUUUGCUGAUAUAAUGAAGGCCCAGUUAAGGUUAACUGCAUGUUUUAAGUGCUUUCUUUGCAUGUAUGUGUUCCUUUUCUUUCCCUUCUUCUUUAGAGGGAAAAUGUUUUUGUCAGUGGUGUAGGGUCCUCAACCCGAGUCAAAGAAUAGGUAGGGGAGACCGGGGAUAGUUGUAACGUGGGUCAGUUGUAACACUUCCAAUUUCUCCAAUCAGGGCUAAGUUUCAAAUGAUGUGACUCAUCCUGUGCAUGCCCAAUUCAGUUCUGCUAUCACAUGUGAAAAAUCAGCACAUUUUGUCAAACACAGACAAUUUAACAUGAAAAGUAAUUUGUAUGCCAAAAAGUAAGUUUUUCUACUUUAUUUCAAUUUCUAAUAGCAUUAUCUGCUUUGCAGUUAAACUCAUCAA
ensembl:lncRNA